UACGUAGGGGGCAAGCGUUGUCCGGAAUUAUUGGGCGUAAAGAGCGUGUAGGCGGUCCGGUAAGUCAGCUGUGAAAGUCAAGGGCUCAACCCUUGAAAGCCGGUUGAUACUGUCGGGCUAGAGUCCGGAAGAGGCGAGUGGAAUUCCCGGUGUAGCGGUGAAAUGCGUAGAGAUCGGGAGGAACACCAGUGGCGAAGGCGGCACUCUGGGCCAGUACUGACACUGAGGAGCGAAAGCGUGGGGAGCGAACAGG
rnacentral:rRNA from 1 species